GGGGAAUUAGCUCAGUGGUAGAGCGCUUGCUUAGCAUUAAUGACUGCAUGAGGCCGUGGGUUCAAUUCCCACAUUCUCCA
rnacentral:tRNA from 1 species